AUUGAACGCUGGCGGCAGGCCUAACACAUGCAAGUCGAACGGGUGGCGGACGGGUGAGUAAUGUCUGGGAAACUGCCUGAUGGAGGGGGAUAACUAAUGGAAACGGUAGCUAAUACCGCAUACCAUCAGAUGUGCCCAGAUGGGAUUAGCUUGGUGGUGGGGUAACGGCGCACCAAGGCGACGAUCCCUAGCUGGUCUGAGAGGAUGACCAGAAACACUGGAACUGGGACACGGUCCAGACUCCUACGGGAGGCAGCAGGGGGGAAUAUUGGACAAUGGGGGCAAGCCUGAUGCAGCCAUGCCGCGUGUAUGAAGAAGGCUUUCGGGUUGUAAAGUACUUUCAGCGAGGAGGCGUUACCCGCAGAAGAAGCACCGGCUAACUCCGUGCCAGCAGCCGCGGUAAUAC
rnacentral:rRNA from 1 species